UUAGCGGCGGACGGGUGAGUAACACGUAGGUAACCUGCCUAUCAGAUCGGGAUAACUAUCGGAAACGAUAGCUAAGACCGGAUAACUGGUUUUCUCGCAUGAGAGAAUUAUGAAACACGGAGCAAUCUGUGGCUGAUAGAUGGGCCUGCGGCGCAUUAGCUAGUUGGUGGGGUAACGGCUCACCAAGGCGACGAUGCGUAGCCGACCUGAGAGGGUGAACGGCCACACUGGGACUGAGACACGGCCCAGACUCCUACGGGAGGCAGCAGUAGGGAAUCUUCCGCAAUGGACGCAAGUCUGACGGAGCAACGCCGCGUGAGUGAUGAAGGUUUUCGGAUCGUAAAGCUCUGUUGCCCUAGACGAACAGCAUGAGGAGUAACUGCCUUGUGUGUGACGGUAUAGGAGAAGAAAGCCCCGGCUAACUACGUGCCAGCAGCCGCGGUAAUACGUAGGGGGCAAGCGUUGUCCGGAAUUAUUGGGCGUAAAGCGCGCGCAGGCGGUUAAUUAAGUUGGGUGUUUAAGCCCGGGGCUCAACCCCGGUUCGCAUCCAAAACUGGUUGACUUGAGUGUAGGAGAGGAAAGUGGAAUUCCACGUGUAGCG
rnacentral:rRNA from 1 species